GUUUUGAUGGCGGUUGUCUUUGGGGCCUUGUUUGAAUACGAACUAUUUUUAAGUAUUUAAUUUAGAUGGUAAGUAAAUAAGGGUAAGCAAUGUCAUUUUCACCGAUCGUAAUUUUUCUAUGACAAAAAAUAAAAUGCUCAUCGACAUCACAAUAACGAUCAAGAAUCGAAUGUUUCACUUUUAUCACUAUAGAAAAAUAUAAACUUGCCAUCACUUUUUUCAUCAUUUGACUUUCUAUUGUUAUCCACAUCAUCAUCAUUAAUAUUACGAGCAAUGACAUCAUUCCGAAUAUUUUUAUCACAAAGUGAAUGACGAUCACGACAAUGAUUACAAUUA